UUGCAACAAGGAGCAAACUAUUACAUAAUACAACAGCACUCAAGAUGGUUGUUGGGUCAGUGGAUGUGUGAACAGAGCAGAUGGGACGAAGAAAAUUGGAUUGUACUCCAUUCCAAAGGUCAGACAACAUGAAGGGGAUUUCACUAAAUCGCUCACAGAGGAACGUCGUCGUCUCUGGUUGGCAAAUAUUAAGAGGAAAGAUGAACCCUCGAAACAUGUCAGGGUCUGCUCGGACCACUUAAUUACAGGUCGCCCUGCUAACAUGUACGACCGAACAAAUCCUGACUGGGCGCCAACAUUGAAACUUGAGGAGACUGCGCCUACCGAAUCUCUGAAAAAGCAUGCUGAGCUUGAGAGAAAGCAAAACAGAUUUCAGAGAACAGCAAAAAGGCAGGAAACAAAGAUGAGGAACGAUGCAGCCAGUGCUCUUCUUCACCUCCAGGACAGCUGCUAGCACUCCCCCGUGGACAUUGUACAACCAGCGUCUCCUGAAGGUCUAGCCGAUACUGAUGGCACUGAAGCAUCCACCAGCUCCAUCGUCCAAGUGACUCAAGUCCAAGUAGACAGUGAAGUCCAGAGACUCUUAUCAGAGAACAUGACAUUACGGGCAGAGCUGGAAUCUUUGCUGUUGAUCAUGCUGAUGAAAAUGCAAUGAAUGUACAUUAAAUAUUAAUUACAGAAUAUACUUUUUGCAC